rnacentral:rRNA from 1 species
UACAGAGGGUGCGAGCGUUGUCCGGAAUCACUGGGCGUAAAGGGCGCGUAGGUGGUGGCUUAAGCGUGCGGUGAAAGCUCGGGGCUCAACCCCGAGUCGGCCGUGCGAACUGGGCUCACUGGAGCAUAGUAGAGGCAGGUGGAAUUCCGGGUGUAGCGGUGGAAUGCGUAGAGAUCCGGAAGAACACCGGUGACGAAGGCGGCCUGCUGGGCUAUGGGCUGACACUGAGACGCGACAGCGUGGGGAGCAAACAGGAUU